rnacentral:sRNA from 1 species
UUUCGCCUGUCGUUUAUGAGGAUGAGCACCUCCGCAGGAGGUUCGAGCCUCGCGAAGCGAGACAACGUUGCUUUGGCAACGGCCCGCAGGGCAAGCAUCGAAGAUGCGCAUAAUCCUCUCAUGCCGACCA